CCUACGUGUGGCAGCAGUGGGGAAUAUUGGGCAAUGGGCGCAAGCCUGACCCAGCAACGCCGCGUGAAGGAAGAAGGCCCUCGGGUUGUAAACUUCUUUUAUCAAGGACGAAACAAAUGACGGUACUUGAUGAAUAAGCCACGGCUAACUACGUGCCAGCAGCCGCGGUAAUACGUAGGUGGCAAGCGUUAGCCGGAUUUACUGGGUGUAAAGGGCGUGUAGGCGGGACUGCAAGUCAGAUGUGAAAACCAUGGGCUCAACCCAUGGGCUGCAUUUGUAUCUGUAGUUCUUGAGUGUUGGAGAGGCAGGCGGAAUUCCGUGUGUAGCGGUGAAGUGCGUAGAUAAACGGAGGAACAACAGUGGCGAAGGCGGCCUGCUGGACAAUAACUGACGCUGAGGGGCGAAAGCGUGGGGAGCGAACAGGAGUAGAUGCACUUGUAGUC
rnacentral:rRNA from 1 species